rnacentral:lncRNA from 1 species
ACCAUCUCUGCUCUGGAUGCUUGCAAAUGUCCCGAAGAGGCUUUCGUAUGUGGUCUAAUACUGAUAGCUGCUUCUCAGGUUUUUCCGCCAGCACUGUCUGUGUACCUGCUUCUGCCUGAAGAGCUGUUUGGAAGGUAGCAAGCAUAUGAACCUUCUUCAACACUUGCCGUCAGAAAUUGGCUCUCCUGGCUUCUUCUCCCUCUGUUGAAACAACUCAUGAAAGCCGUACAGCUGCCUUCC